CCCCACUCAGGAUUGCACUGGAGAGUUUCCAGUACUCUUCCAGUCAUGACUACGGGAGGGAAAGUCAAGCAGAGGCCUACCCAUUCCAUUCUUAGCUUAGGCAGUGGCUAGUGAGUGGAAUACAAUCUGCUAGAAGU